rnacentral:antisense_RNA from 1 species
CAUCAGUUGGCGAGAGAAAGGCACUGAAGAAAUUUUCAGAUUCAUCGACCACAGUCCUCCGAACUGGCUUUGUGAUUGCUUUAGGAGAGGCUAUUGGUGGACUCUGAGGUUCAGUGUUUGAUUUCAACCCCCAGGUUGAAGUAUCCCAUCCUCCACUGACAGGGGAACUUAUUCCUUUGACAAAAAAGUAAAUAUUAAAAAAGAACACAUAUGUUACAUUAAUAUUUCAAUCAUCAUUAUAAAUCAGUAUAAAUAUAAAUUUAGAAAAAAAUACCCUAUGAAAUACCUGUAAUUUGCACCUGCUAAACUCCUUGCUUACUACAUCAUUAAGUAGUUUCCAAGUUAAUACUGGGACUUAAAGAAGAAAACUGGUGAGGGUCCACCUGAGAGGAAGGAGGAGCACAGACAAAAGACUGGGCCUGGCCUGGACUACCAGAUGCGAGGUGGCUGUGAUGGCUGGAGAUUUCAUUUGCCUAAAGAUUAUGAUGACAGAGAAGUAUCAAACAUAAUUUUUAUCAAAAGAUAAUUUUUUUAAGGUUUCAAAAAUCACAAAAAUGAUUUUUACAACAUAACAAAAAUCUACAAUACUUACAGAGAAGCACUAUUGGUUAGAAAAUCCAAAACCUCCUGUAGUUUAGCUGAUGGAGAAAA